rnacentral:rRNA from 1 species
GACAGAGGUGCCAAGCGUUAGGCGGAAUCACUGGGCUUAAAGCGUGUGUAGGCGGAUCGUUAAGUACCUUGUGAAAUCCCACGGCUCAACCGUGGAACUGCUGGGUAUACUGGCGAUCUUGAGCCACCUAGGGGCGAGCGGAACAAGCGGUGGAGCGGUGAAAUGCGUAGAUAUCGUUUGGAACGCCAAUGGUGAAAACAGCUAGCUGGGGAUGUGCCGACGCUGAGACACGAAAGCCAGGGGAGCGAACGGG